rnacentral:rRNA from 1 species
AGCGAACGCUGGCGGUAUGCUUAACACAUGCAAGUCGAGCGCGAAAGUGACUUCGGUCAUGAGUAGAGCGGCGGACGGGUGAGUAACACGUGGAUAAUCUGCCUUUAGGACUGGGAUAACCCUGGGAAACUAGGGCUAAUACCGGAUAAGACCACAGGUUCCAUGGAACCAGGGGUAAAAGGCGGCCUUCGGGCUGUCGCCGAAAGAUGAGUCCGCGUCCCAUCAGGUAGUUGGUGAGGAACGGCUCACCAAGCCGAAGACGGGUAGCCGACCUUAGCGGGUGAUCGGCCACACGGGGACUGAGACACGGCCCCGA